rnacentral:rRNA from 1 species
UACGAAGGGGGCGAGCGUUGUUCGGAAUUACUGGGCGUAAAGGGCGCGCAGGCGGCCUUAGAAGUCAGAUGUGAAAUCCCCGGGCUUAACCUGGGAACUGCAUUUGAGACUGCAUUGCUAGAGUAUGGGAGAGGGCAGUGGAAUUUCCGGUGUAGCGGUGAAAUGCGUAGAUAUCGGAAGGAACAUCAGUGGCGAAAGCGACUGCCUGGACCAAUACUGACGCUCAUGUGCGAAAGCGUGGGGAGCAAGCAGG